rnacentral:rRNA from 1 species
CCUACGGGUGGCUGCAGUGGGGAAUAUUGGACAAUGGGGGGAACCCUGAUCCAGCCAUGCCGCGUGUGUGAAGAAGGCCUUUUGGUUGUAAAGCACUUUAAGCGAGGAGGAGGCUACUCUAGUUAAUACCUAGGGAUAGUGGACGUUACUCGCAGAAUAAGCACCGGCUAACUCUGUGCCAGCAGCCGCGGUAAUACAGAGGGUGCAAGCGUUAAUCGGAUUUACUGGGCGUAAAGCGCGCGUAGGUGGCCAAUUAAGUCAAAUGUGAAAUCCCCGAGCUUAACUUGGGAAUUGCAUUCGAUACUGGUUGGCUAGAGUAUGGGAGAGGAUGGUAGAAUUCCAGGUGUAGCGGUGAAAUGCGUAGAGAUCUGGAGGAAUACCGAUGGCGAAGGCAGCCAUCUGGCCUAAUACUGACACUGAGGUGCGAAAGCAUGGGGAGCAAACAGGAUUAGAUACCCCGGUAGUC